UUGCCACUGUGAAGCGUCUAAACAGUUGAACAUUUUAAAUUUUGGACUUGCUAGAGCAAGAAGAAAACUCAAGGUUACUCGACUCAAGGCAAGCUUUUGGGACUCCAUCCGAUCUGGGUUCUUGAAGGAGAACUCAACAGAAGUCAUUGAACCUUCAUCCACACUAACAGAAGAGGAAGAACCACUUCCUGAAGAGUUCGUACUUGUA
rnacentral:misc_RNA from 1 species